UUUUAUUUAAAUAUACAUGUUUUGUAUUUGAUAUCCUGGUUCGAUUUAUGAUUUUUACUCUCUUUGGGAGAUGGUGGAAUUCAUUGUAUAUGGCUGGUCUUUCGGGUUUCAUCCCUCUGUGUCAAAUCGGGAAGCGAUAGGCAUGGCCUCUUCUUUCUUUACUUGAGGACCAUCACGGUGGGUAUGGGAGAAGGGAUGUAAGAGUUUGGAGUCUCAGUCCACUGGUGGGAUUCUUGUGUAAGUCGCCCUUCCAAAAUAUGAGUGACCCUUUCCUUCUCCUAGGAAGGUAGAGGAAGAUCUGGACCGUACUCUCUGUCAUCUUGAGUUUGCGAGCUUCUUUUGGGACUUUUCUAUCCAGAUGUUUGGUUUUUUGUAUGGGCAGUUCAUUGACAACGUGAUUGGGAAGUUCAACUUUCUCUUCAGGAGAAUGGUCAACUUUUAUGGCAUGUUGAGUUGUGUGUGAUCUUCUAAGUUUUGUGAGGGGGAGUGGAAUAGUAGGAUGUUUAGAGGUGGAAAGAAACCCUAGUGAGGAUAUUUAUAUAUGGACUUCAAUUUCGAAAACCUUUUGUAAUUAUUCUAUAGACACUAUUUUGCAUAAUUGGAGUCCCUUUCUAUGAAGGAUC